UAAAAGUGUAAAUAAAGUGUGUCAAAUUGUAAAAUCCCCUUCCCUCCAACCAAACGCGCUGCGAGGGAAAAUACAGUGACGCUCGCCUCUGCAGCCCCCGCCGCCGCCCUGCUCCUCAGCAAUCGCCGCAGCCGCCCCGAGCGCGAUGGUACGUGCCGCAGCCGCGCACCAACGCCGUCGCCACACGCCAUCUCCGCCGCCCCGCGCGGGACGAUCUCCUGACCGCGCUCGCGAUUCGCCGGCUGUCCCCACCUCACCGUGGUCGCCCCAUUGGCCCAGCCCACGUCUCGACUUGAUCCGGCGGCGCGGGGUCGCCAGUGACGACGCGCGCCGCAGCCACCUUUGUGGAGGUCAUAAAUGAUGGCAAUUGCGAACGAUUGGUCCAUCCUACACAUAUUGCACGCCUCCUUUGGGAAUUAAUAACCAACGCCAGUGUAUCCUUUUCUAAUUCUGCAUUGUAACCUCUACUGGCUUCAGCUGCAACCACCAUCUUGUACAGUAGAAAUUUUUCAGAGACAGCUUCAGGUUGUUCUAGGAUUUUGCUAAAGAUCUGUAGCCAGAGCUACCAUUCAAUUGUUUUUUUUUGUCAUAUGGGGCUACCUGCCCAAGAAACCACAUGGAGGUAUGUCCCUUUGGAAGCAUAUUUUUUGGUAUACGCCUAAUUUAUUUAGUGAAGAAAAUGAUUUCUGGAUAAAUAUGUGAAACUUACAAAGUAUCUGCAUAUUACUCUCUUUUGGUGCUUCAAGAGGGAAAUAAAAACCAGUUUGGUGGUUACUGGAUGAUGACGUAUCUAGAUAAUAACUCUCACAUGGAGUUGUACUUGGUUCCAGGACAAUCACUGGAUAUCUUUAUUUUUUGGAGGGCCUGAACAAUGGGACAAAGUGGUUAAUUUUGUGGAAACAAUUGAUGUUCUUGGCGAACCGAACUUUUGUAUUAUUGGCUCUAUUGUGGUGCAAAUGUAGGUCGUUGGCUUGCUAUGGAGGUACACAUUUGUCUUUUGUUUGCUAGGCUAAGUGUGCAUUUGGACGAAGGAAUUAAUUCAUGUUUCCUAUAUAAAUCAUACUACGACAUACCAGCUUUUAGCCACCGGCACAUGAAACGAUGAGCCGAAGCUCACGCUAUCCAGCAUAUAGUAGGUCAUCGAGAAGACAAGGUAAAGGAUAAACAGGACAAUCCCGAUGAA